AGGCUUUCCAGCCACUGCCGUGAGGCAGCAUUACAACAACGAGCUUUAAUUGUGACAGGAGGAAAGGGAGAGAGAAGCUCUGCUCUGAAGAGUGUCUCGGAGCCGCGCUGACACACCUCGGUGCAGAGCACGGAAGCAAACCCGGCUCCAUUCCUUACCACCUGCGUUCCGAGACUCCUAACACUCUUAGCUGGCAAGUCACCUAUUCCCAGAGUAUCUCCAUGAAAGAAGAAGAGGGGAGAUGGCUUUAUUCCCAUUUUACAGGGAAUAUUCUCCACCUCCGUGUUUUUCUCAUCACAGCUCCCAGAUCAAGAUGGCAGAAGAACAGAAGCCUACAGCUCAAAGACGCAGAAGGAAGUUAGGAAAAGAAUAUUCUCAUAUCCAUCCAACGCUCUGCAGCUUUUAAAGAUCAAAAAGAAACACUACCUAUGAGUCACCUAAUCUUUAUAAUAGCUUUACAGAAGGAAUAUCUCAGGCAGGAAAACAUGCCUCAGGAUGUAAGGCUCCAGAAGUUUGCCUCACUGUGGUGUGGCUCAUCGCCCGCACCGAACCACUCCCACCUCCACACCAGCCUCGCCACUUAGGUAAGUCUCCUUUCAUUGACUCGCGAUUAAUCACACAGUGCAACCCUU